ACAGCCCCUCGCUACUGCCAAUUGGAUGGUUUAGUGAGGCCCUCAGAUCGACCCUGCAGGGGUCUGCCCAUGGCCCUGGCUGAGUGCUGAGAAGAAGUCGAACUUGACUAUCUAGAGGAAGUAAAAGUUGCAACAUGGUUACUGUAAGUUAACCUGAAUAAG
rnacentral:ncRNA from 1 species